UUCCAACAAACGAUUGCAAACAGUUUGCAAACCGUUUGAUGAACUGCUUUAUUGGGCAUACUCGAUCAGAAACCAGUUGGGAACUAAUCCGUGAUUCUGGACUGUUGGAACGCAACCAAAACCAAACUAUCAAAUCACAUUGUCAAACGUCAGACCGGUUAAACUGAAUUUGUGAACUUUAAUAAGAUUACCUAGGUGUUGAAUUGUGAUUUUCUGUCGAUCAACUAGGAAAAUUUGGAAAUGAGUGAACAACUAGACGAUUUAUCAGAAUUCAUAAUUCUGAGAAAUAUAACAAAUAGUGCUUCUUCGCCUCCUUUUCAAGCAGUAACAGUAAAUGAGGAAAAGUCGAAAGACCCGCAGAUUUAUAUAUGGACACGCUCGUUCACAUUAAAUUUAAUAAAGAUUUUUCAAUAAAAUCGAAAGAAAGUGGGCACCCUGGAAGUUAAGAGCUUACGAAGGCUAUGGCAGUUGUUAGCUGAAUUAAUGGAGAGUAAAUAUGGAGUAAACGUAACCCCAUCACAGUGUGAAAACAGGUGGAGGGUUCUAGAAAGAAAUUAUAAAAAAUUAAUUGACAAUAACAACAAGACUGGAAGGGGAAGGAUUCACUUCGAAUUUGAAAAAGAGAUGGAGGAAAUAUUAGGACACAAAAAAAGUGUAAAACCACUAAUGCUGUUAUCAUCAGAAAGUGUCUGCGGACUGAUAGAAACAAACAAAGAGGAAAAACAAGCAGGUGAAGUUUCAAUGCAAACUAUAGAUAACGAAGAAGAAUCUAUGAACACUUGUCAAGAUCAAUCUGACGAACAAGGAAACAGCCCAAACCCUCAAACCAAAGAAAAACGCUUCGAAAUAAAAAGGCAUAAAGUGAAGUUCACUAGAAAUGAUAUUUUAAAAAAAAUUAGAUGUGAUAAACUAAAAUAUAAUACUGAACGAUUAAGUACAGAAAAGGAGAAUAUUUUACUAGAGAAACAAAAUUUUGAAGAAAAGAAACGUAAAAAUGAUCUAAUAGAGGAAAGGAAUGCCUUAAUUAGACGAUGUAUC